GAGACAGCCAGGUGGGAGGGGGUCCCUGGAGAAUCUCCAACCAGCCUGCGCACUGGGAAUGCGCACUGGAGUGAAAAUACAGAAGUUGGUGCCCUUUGCAGCAGCCAGGAGUCCGACUCCUCCUCUUCCUGUGUGGAACCUGGAAUUCAAACGGCUGGGUAGGAAGCACGCUAGCAGGGGCCUCUGGCCUUGCUGAGGGUCCCUGUUUCCCCUUUUCCUUCCUUUUCACCCAACAAAACCCUGCUUUACUCACCCUUCAAACCAUCUAUGAGCCUAAAUUGUCGUGGUCGUGGAAUGGACAAGGACCCAGUCUUUAGCUGAACUAAGGGAAAGUCCUGCUUUUUGGCGCGCAACAGGGGAGCUCAAGAAACAGGCCUCACUCACGGCAUAUGGAACUAACCACGCCCCUAACUAAGAAGGCACACCUUAGUUGCAGUUAGCACACAAUUAAAGCAACUCUCCAAGUUUUACCUUAAAGUUCAAAAUUGCUAGGAGUUGAAACUACUAGAAAUAUAUUUACAUGCAAGAGUCAAAGAAACUUUGAACUAUUUAUGGCCUUUAAUAAUUAAGUAAGGUAUACUCCUGUGAUCAAGACUUGGAGCAUAUUUGUUUCUCUCUGCCUGGUUCCUCUAGAAAUUGGAAACUAUCAGAACAGAGACCAACUCCGUUUCCCGAUCCCUUUGCAAUCUGCAUUGAACCAUGAGUCAAGUUCUUGAUAAAGGAGUGAAAAUGGAUGACAUUUAAGGCACAUCUGAAGAUGGGGAAACCACAGCACAGAAUAAGGCUGGGCCCUUGAAUCAAUAAAUGAAGGAGAACUACUCAAGAGAACAAAACCACCAGCAAUAUCCACCUGUAUUUGUCUUUUCAUAAUGUGUGACACAUGUGCUCAUGGAUUAUUGUCCGAAGCAAGACAUGUGACCAAGCCUAACAUCAACUGGGUGAAGAGCUAUAUGUUCCUUUCUCAAGAGGCACUACAAGUGACAUGCCACUGGGCAGAUGGAGUCUCGCUCUGUCACCCAGGCUAGAGUGCAGUACCGCAAUCUCGGCUCGCUGCAAGCUCUGACUCCCAGGUUCACACCAUUCUCCUGCCUCAGCCUCCCAAGUAGCUGGCACUACAGGCGCCCACCACCAUGCCUGGCUAAUUUUUUAUAUUUUUAGUAGAGAAGGGGUUUCGCCGUGUUAGCCAGAAUGGUCUUGAUCUCCUGACCUCAUGAUCUGCCCACCUCGGCCUCCCAAAGUGCUGGGAUUACAGGCGUGAGCCACCGCGACUGGCCUAACAUAUUUUUAAAACCUGCAGAAUGUUUGUAUUACUUUUGUCAUAGUACAUAACAUUUAAAUGGAUUUCUUGUUUGUGUAUGUGUGUAUAUUCAUUCACAACACUGAUAGUUUUUCUGAAUAUUUCCUUUGGAUUUUAUUCUUUUCUCAUUCAACUAAAUAAGAACCUGCACCAUCUUUUUCUAGUGUAAAAAUUACAAUAUCUGAAGUGAAACUACUAGAAUAAAUCUUGUGACAAUUCUUAAGGAUUAUCUUUUAGUUGGUAUGGUUUCCAAAAAAGAUUGUACUAAGUUUUACUCCCAGUGGAAAUAUUUAAAGGCAAUACUUCCAUUUCUUUUUUACAGAAUAGAAUCCAAUUAUUCUUUUUCAUCCCAUUGUUGUAUACAGACUUUAUUUCAUUUACUUGUAGAUCAAAGGUUUUUUGGUUUCCUAUCUUUUGGACACUGUUUUGGGUACUAGAGAGAGCAUGAGUAGCUAAGUUUCUGAAAUUUACAGUGAAUGGAAAAAGAUAGGCAUAAAUGAAACAAUCACAAAAAUAAAUGUAACAGCUACAGUUACAGUUGUAAAACUGUGGUCAGUGCUAUGGAGGAGUGUACAAGGUGAUAUGAGAGAUCAUAAUAGGGAAGUUAAAUCUCUGGUUCAUGUAAAACUGCCAUGGACACACUCUCAGUGAACUUAGAGCUAAAAGAGGAGUAAUAGCCAUUAGACACAAAAAAGCAGAUAGAAAAUGUUCUGGGAAGAAUAAUGUCUAUAAAGGAUCUGGGGUAGGAGAGAGCAUUGUUCUUUGGUGAUAUGAGAUUGGAGGGAUAGGUGAAUAUAAAACAUAAGCAUAAAAACUAGAUAGUAUUUAAAUCCUUUCCUUGGAUCUUAAUGAGAAGCACUAAAGAGAUUUAAAUAGAGAAUGACAACAUGUAAUUUGGCUUUUAAACAAAGUUAUGUUUUUUAAUGCAGAAAAUAAAUUGGAAUGAAGCCCAUGUGAAUGCAUGGAGACAAGGUGAAAAGGUAGAUGAGAAAAAAGUUGGAAAUAUUUGCAGGUACAUUUGACAGGACCAGGAGAUGUCUUGGGCAUUCAUGAUGAUGGAAGAGUGGUCAAUAAUGACUCUAUUUUCUAGCUUGUAUCAUGAGAUGAAUGGAGACCCGUAGAAGAAUAAGUUUUGUGAGUGACUGGGUCAUGUAAUAUAUUUUGGAUUUGUUAAAUGUGAACUACUUUUAAGAAACUGUGGGGAAAAACUUCGUUUUGUUUACAUCCAUGAAUCAUUUGAAGCACGAAAAAUAAUUCUCAGCUGAAGAUACAAAUAUGAGGGCCCUGGGUGUAUAACUGAAGGCACGAGUAUAAAUGGGAUUAUUUAGGGAGGGCUUAAAAGUGGAUAGAGAGUAAAUUCACAGACUAUAGGUACAAAAUAAUCACCAAUGACAAUAUAUUAUGCAGCUUAAGACCAAUUGUAUGUAUUUUCCUGACAAUGUCUUUUAGAGCCUGUGACUAGUUUUCUCCUGAAGAUGUGGUGAUCUUCUUAUCAAUUUUUAAGAGUACUUAAAUGUUUUAACAAUUAUAUUUAACUCAAAAUUAGUUUCCA
rnacentral:lncRNA from 1 species